UGCAGUCGAGCGGUAGAGAGAAGCUUGCUUCUCUUGAGAGCGGCGGACGGGUGAGUAAUGCCUAGGAAUCUGCCUGGUAGUGGGGGAUAACGUUCGGAAACGGACGCUAAUACCGCAUACGUCCUACGGGAGAAAGCAGGGGACCUUCGGGCCUUGCGCUAUCAGAUGAGCCUAGGUCGGAUUAGCUAGUUGGUGAGGUAAUGGCUCACCAAGGCGACGAUCCGUAACUGGUCUGAGAGGAUGAUCAGUCACACUGGAACUGAGACACGGUCCAGACUCCUACGGGAGGCAGCAGUGGGGAAUAUUGGACAAUGGGCGAAAGCCUGAUCCAGCCAUGCCGCGUGUGUGAAGAAGGUCUUCGGAUUGUAAAGCACUUUAAGUUGGGAGGAAGGGCUGUAACCUAAUACUCUGGUGUUUUGACGUUACCGACAGAAUAAGCACCGGCUAACUCUGUGCCAGA
rnacentral:rRNA from 1 species